AUUGAACGCUGGCGGCAUGCCUUACACAUGCAAGUCGAACGGUAACAGGUCUUCGGAUGCUGACGAGUGGCGAACGGGUGAGUAAUACAUCGGAACGUGCCCGAUCGUGGGGGAUAACGCAGCGAAAGCUGUGCUAAUACCGCAUACGAUCUACGGAUGAAAGCGGGGGAUCGCAAGACCUCGCGCGGACGGAGCGGCCGAUGGCAGAUUAGGUAGUUGGGGGGAUAAAAGCUUACCAAGCCGACGAUCUGUAGCUGGUCUGAGAGGACGACCAGCCACACUGGGACUGAGACACGGCCCAGACUCCUACGGGAGGCAGCAGUGGGGAAUUUUGGACAAUGGGCGCAAGCCUGAUCCAGCCAUGCCGCGUGCAGGAUGAAGGCCUUCGGGUUGUAAACUGCUUUUGUACGGAACGAAAAAGCUCUCUCUAAUACAGGGGGUGAAUGACGGUACCGUAAGAAUAAGCACCGGCUAACUACGUG
rnacentral:rRNA from 1 species